AGUGAACGCUGGCGGCGUGCCUAAUACAUGCAAGUCGAACGGCGUGGCGCACUGGUGAGUAAUAUAUAGCUAAUCUGCCCCUUGCUGGCGGACAACAGUUCGAAAUGACUGCUAAUACUCCAUAGCAAGGGAUGAGACUAUAUCGUAUCAGCUAGUCGGUGGGGUAACGGCCUACCGAGGGUAUGCCGCGUCACUGGUCUGAGAGGAUGAGCAGUCAAAUUGGAAGUGAGACACGGUCCAAACGCCUACGGGAGGCAGCAGUAGGGAAUAGUGCGCAAUGGGGGAAACCCUGACGAAGCAACGCAGCGUGGAGGAUUACACUUUUAGGAGCGUAAACUCCUUUUGUUAGGGAAGCGGUACCUAACGAAUAAGCACCGGCUAACUCCGUGCCAGCAGCCGCGGUAAUAC
rnacentral:rRNA from 1 species